rnacentral:rRNA from 1 species
UACGUAGGAGACAAGCGUUGUCCGGAAUUACUGGGUGUAAAGCGCGUGUAGGCGGUAGGCCAAGUCUGCUGUGAAAUCGCCCGGCUCAACUGGGCGCGGUCGGUGGAAACUGGUCAACUGGAGGACGGUAGAGGCGAGUGGAAUUCCCGGUGUAGUGGUGAAAUGCGUAGAUAUGCGGAGGAACACCGAUGGCGAAGGCAAUCCCCUGGGCCUGCACUGACGCUCAUGCACGAAAGCGUGGGGAGCAAACAGG